AAAACACACCUACGGGAGGCAGCGGUGGGGAAUUUUGGACAAUGGGCGCAAGCCUGAUCCAGCCAUGCCGCGUGCAGGAUGAAGGCCUUCGGGUUGUAAACUGCUUUUGUACGGAACGAAAAGGUUUCUUUUAAUACAGGGAACUGAUGACGGUACCGUAAGAAUAAGCACCGGCUAACUACGUGCCAGCAGCCGCGGUAAUACGUAGGGUGCGAGCGUUAAUCGGAAUUACUGGGCGUAAAGCGUGCGCAGGCGGUGAUGUAAGACAGAGGUGAAAUCCCCGGGCUCAACCUGGGAACUGCCUUUGUGACUGCAUCGCUGGAGUGCGGCAGAGGGGGAU
rnacentral:rRNA from 1 species